GAAUCGUACGUCGUUCACGUUUGUAUAAUGAACCUGUGUAAACGCAGUGGCAAGUGAACUGGCGUGCAUAAGAGCUCCAAACAGCGCUAUGAACAAUUCACUGUACAAGUAUCCAGCUGGAACGAACUCCGGCUAAUCCUUUCAUCAAUUUAUUCUUCUCGACUGCAUUCGACUCUUCCACGAACUUCUGCAGCAUUAUAUUCCACUCGGCUUCUUCACCGACGUGACUCAUUCCUGGAUUGAUCGAUAAAAUAUUCGUAAAGGCAAAUAAACAUUUUUUGUUUGUUUUCAAGUUAGUUUAUAAGAAAAAUUGUAUUUUUCAGAUCGUUAUAAUUUUUUUUCAAAAAAUUUCGAGUGGAAAAGAAUUUGAUGAUAUUUCAACACUCACCGUAAUAAUAAACUAAAGAUCUAAUGUCUGGAUGCGGUCUAACGUCUUUCGUGUCGUUGAUCCACGCCUUGAAAAUUCUUCCUGCCUCGUCGAGACAAUUUUGGUGGCCAACGGAACAUGCUAAUUCUAGAAUCGAUUUACGAAGGCUCCUAAAAACAUCAUGAAACCGAUUAACAAUUUAUUUACGAUUACAAUUUUUUGUACACGGAUCCAAUAUUAAUAAUAUAUUCUUUUUGUAUUUUGGAA